rnacentral:lncRNA from 1 species
UUCACCUAGCCCAUGGCCAAGUCAGGGUCUCUGAAGAACCCCCACGAAAAGUGCCAACUGGAAGAGCCAACAUUUGGAUCUUACCAUUUGGAAGGCUUUCAACAGUCAAGAGAGCAUCACAGCCAGCAUCUGCCUCCAUCUCUCAUCCCUCCACAGCUAUUAUAUUGGAAAAUCCAUCAGCAGUUAGGUCACAUAGGAGAGUGAUCAGCAUAUCUUGGGAGCACAGUAGACACAGGUUAAGGAGAUCCCCUGCCUGCAGUGUCCCAAUCAAAUCAUAGGAACACUGUGAGACUCUGGGGUGAGCUUGCAUUUGCAGACAGGAACUGAAGGGCUGGAGAGGUUACACUCACCCAGGUGCAGUUGCCCAGCAUGUGAAAGAGGAGACAUUCUAAACCCUGCACUUAAAAAAUAAAUAAAUAAAUAAAGUUA